UACGGAGGAUCCAAGCGUUAUCCGGAAUCAUUGGGUUUAAAGGGUCCGUAGGCGGUUUGGUAAGUCAGUGGUGAAAGCCCAUCGCUCAACGGUGGAACGGCCAUUGAUACUGCCAGACUUGAAUUAUUAGGAAGUAACUAGAAUAUGUAGUGUAGCGGUGAAAUGCUUAGAGAUUACAUGGAAUACCAAUUGCGAAGGCAGGUUACUACUAAUGAUUGACGCUGAUGGACGAAAGCGUGGGUAGCGAACAGGA
rnacentral:rRNA from 1 species